rnacentral:rRNA from 1 species
GACGAACGCUGGCGGCGUGCCUAAUACAUGCAAGUAGAACGCACAGUUUAUACCGUAGCUUGCUACACCAUAGACUGUGAGUUGCGAACGGGUGAGUAACGCGUAGGUAACCUGCCUGGUAGCGGGGGAUAACUAUUGGAAACGAUAGCUAAUACCGCAUAAUAUUGAUUAUUGCAUGAUAAUUGAUUGAAAGAUGCUAUUGCAUCACUACCAGAUGGACCUGCGUUGUAUUAGCUAGUAGGUGAGGUAACGGCUCACCUAGGCGACGAUACAUAGCCGACAUGCGAGGGUGGUCGGCCACACUGGGACUGAGACAGGGCCCAGACGCAUACGGGAGGCAGCAGUAGGGAAUCGUCGGCAAUGGACGAAAGUCUGAGCGAGCAACGCCGCGUGAGUGAAGAAGGUUGUCGGAUCGUAAAGCUCUGUUGUAAGAGAAGAACGGGUGUGAGAGUGGAAAGUUCACACUGUGACGGUAACUUACCAGAAAGGGACGGCUAACUACGUG